CCCUACGGGGGGCAGCAGUGAGGAAUAUUGGUCAAUGGGCGGGAGCCUGAACCAGCCAAGUCGCGUGAGGGAAGACGGUCCUAUGGGUUGUAAACCUCUUUUGUCGGGGAGCAAAGAGGCCACGUGUGGUCAAAAGCGAGAGUACCCGAAGAAAAAGCAUCGGCUAACUCCGUGCCAGCAGCCGCGGUAAUACGGAGGAUGCGAGCGUUAUCCGGAUUUAUUGGGUUUAAAGGGUGCGUAGGCGGGACGGUAAGUCAGCGGUAAAAAUGCGGAGCUCAACUCCGUCGAGCCGUUGAAACUGCCGU
rnacentral:rRNA from 1 species